rnacentral:rRNA from 1 species
UGGGGAAUAUUGCACAAUGGGCGCAAGCCUGAUGCAGCCAUGCCGCGUGUAUGAAGAAGGCCUUCGGGUUGUAAAGUACUUUCAGCGGGGAGGAAGGGAGUAAAGUUAAUACCUUUGCUCAUUGACGUUACCCGCAGAAGAAGCACCGGCUAACUCCGUGCCAGCAGCCGCGGUAAUACGGAGGGUGCAAGCGUUAAUCGGAAUUACUGGGCGUAAAGCGCACGCAGGCGGUUUGUUAAGUCAGAUGUGAAAUCCCCGGGCUCAAACUGGGAACUGCAUCUGAUACUGGCAAGCUUGAGUCUCGUAGAGGGGGGUAGAAUUCCAGGUGUAGCGGUGAAAUGCGUAGAGAUCUGGAGGAAUACCGGUGGCGAAGGCGGCCCCCUGGACGAAGACUGACGCUCAGGUGCGAAAGAGUGGGGAGCAAACAGG